GGACUACUGGGGUUUCUAAUCCUGUUUGCUCCCCGCGCUUUCGCGCCUCAGCGUCAGUCGUCGGCUGGCAGCCUGCCUUCGCCAUCGGUGUUCUUCCUGAUAUCUACAGAUUUCACCCCUACACCAGGAAUUCCGGCUGCCCCUCCGCAACUCAAGCCUCGCAGUUUCCAGCGCAGCCCAGGGGUUGAGCCCCUGUAUUUCACGCCGGACUUGCGCGGCCGCCUACGCGCCCUUUACGCCCAAUAAUUCCGAACAACGCUCGCCCCUUACGUGUUACCGCGGCGGCUGGCAC
rnacentral:rRNA from 1 species